UGGCGGGGCGGCGCGCGCCCGGGGAGCCCCCGGGGGCGGGGUCUGGAGGGGCGGGGCGGGGCUUAGCGGGGCGGGGCUUGGCCGCCGCGCCCGGCCUCCCGACGAGCGGCCCCGCCGCCCAGUUCCCGGGAGCGGGCCGGCCGGUCCCGCCCUCUCCGAGCCCCUCCUGGCGAGGGACGCGAGAUCAGAUGAUCCCCAGCGGGGAUCUAAUUGGCUUCUCUGACGUGGAGGGCUUGGCUCGGGACUGAACAAAGCCCGAAGUCUCCUGGGCCGCCCACGACCUGACACCUCCUGUAGCCCUGGCCGGUCCCCCAGGCCUAUGUGGUGGGUGCCCUGCUGUGCACCCGCAGUACUAGUACCCCAAGCCUGCUGCACCUGAGUAGGGACUUUGGCUCCUCCUGGCCGUAGAAGGAAACCUUGACUGGAUCUGGAUGCUCCGGGUUACUGCUGAACAGUAGAGGGGACUACAAAUGUGUGGUGUGAUUACUUUGAGACUCAAAUCUGGAAUUGGUCAACUUUACACACACACACACACACACACACACACACACACAAGAAUUCCACGUCCUGAGACCACUUCCUCCCAGCACGCGAGAAUUUUUCCUGGUGCUAGGAGAUCUUCAAAAUAAAGCAAUUAUGUGGAAUGGUGAAGGUCAUGCUGUCUGAAAUUGGCUAACAAUUAAUAGCCAACAUGUAAGAAAAAGAAAAAAAAAACCUGUUUACACAGAACAGUUUAAAUCAGGUUUGUUAUGAAAUGUCUAGCAAGAUGAAAAACAUGUGCUUCAGAAAAUAAAACGAAUCACUUUGUCCUUUGGAGUCUCCUAAGAAAUAUGACAAACACACCUGAUGCUGGCAUGAAAACAAAGUGGCACAGUUCUGAUAAGUGUUGUCUUCUAAAAUAGAUCAGUUAUGUAAGAGAGUCAGAAGAAAAGCAUAUCUGUUUCCUAAUUUGGAAAAUGCUUAUCACCGUCAUCCCGUGCUUAUCCCUCCUGCCCACUGCUGCACCCCAAGACUUUUCCUGAUAUAGCUCGGAUGUUAAGACUAACAGGGACACCAUGGUUUUCUUGCACAGGAUUCAGCAGAAGAACGUUCGAACCUCCUCUUUGCACAGUCAGUGAAAUUACUAUUUGUUUUUCACAUUAUCAUUAAAAAAAAUAAAGAUAACUGAGUUUAAACUCGAAAGAGCAUGGGCUGGGGGGAUGUAACGCAAAGGCAGAAUAUAAUCUUAGGCAGUCCUGGGUUCAAUCUUACACACACACACACACACACACACACACACACACACACAUACACACAUUCAUUCAUUCAUACAUACGGUCCGUUUGCUGGUCCAGGUUACUAACAUUCCAGCAACUAGAAUCUAGCUAAUGCACUGAAAACUCAACCAUAAAGCUUGAUACAAUCAGCCCACAUCCAAUAGUGUUACUAUAGGUGAAAUGCCUAUUUUAAAAAAGGCUUCAAAAUCCACCUUCUACUGAGGCGCAAUCAUUAUAUAUGUGAAAGCAGAGCUGGGAUUCUGCUGGCUUGAUGGAAGCCCUCUGGGUAAGGAAUCCAGACACCUCAGUGCUGACUAUAUUCCCUGGGUGGUGGGAAGAGGUCACCCGCUUUCCUGGCUCCCGUUUGGUCACCUGUGCAGACUAGAACCAGCUCCGAGAGUUGCCUUCUACCCCCGGAGCCUAGCUAGAGAGGUUUAUGUGAGCACAGUGACAGGUGGAACAGUGUUUCCCAAGCUCAGCAACACAGCAUUUGACACCUGAUGCAAAUGGAACAGGAGCUAAAGGCUGAAAGGGAGGAGACCGUGUCUUGAGAAAUGUACUUUGUUGUUCCUCAGCCCUGCUCAGAGCGGUUGGAAUGAGCCGCUGGGAUAUGAGCAUUAAUGCAGUCACUGGACAGGGAUCCUUUAACCCCUACAUAUCUGCUUACACCUACCAUUAAUCAAGGAGAGGCUGGA